GAUGAACGCUAGCGGCAGGCUUAAUACAUGCAAGUCGAGGGGCAGCAUGAGUGUAGCAAUACAUUUGAUGGCGACCGGCAAACGGGUGCGGAACAUGUACACAACCUUCCUAUAAGUGGGGAAUAGCCCAGAGAAAUUUGGAUUAAUACCCCGUAACAUAAUGAUGUGGCAUCACAUUAUUAUUAUAGCUUCGGCGCUUAUUGAUGGGUGUGCGGCUGAUUAGAUAGUUGGCGGGGUAACGGCCCACCAAGUCUACGAUCAGUAGCUGAUGUGAGAGCAUGAUCAGCCACACGGGCACUGAGACACGGGCCCGACUCCUACGGGAGGCAGCAGUAAGGAAUAUUGGUCAAUGGACGCAAGUCUGAACCAGCCAUGCCGCGUGAAGGAUUAAGGUCCUCUGGAUUGUAAACUUCUUUUAUCUGGGACGAAAAAAGGCUAUUCUUAGUCACUUGACGGUACCAGAUGAAUAAGCACCGGCUAACUCCGUGCCAGCAGCCGCCGUAAGAC
rnacentral:rRNA from 1 species